rnacentral:lncRNA from 1 species
GACACCAGCAACUGCUCCUCAGGCUGCAGAAUCUGGAACUUCUCCAGCGGCGGAGGAAUCAGGCGCCCCUACCUCAGAAUCAGGCGCUCCCCCUACCUCAGAAUCCGAUGCUCCCCCUUCAUCGGAAUCAGGCGCUACCCCUGCAUCGGAAUCAGGCGUUUCCCCUGAACCAGAAUCAGGCGUUCCUCCUGAACCAGAAUCAGGAGCUCCUACUACACCAGAAUCAGGUGCUCCUACUACAUCAGAAACAGGUGUCUCAGAAUCAGUCCAAGUGCCAACACCAGAAACUGAUGCUCAUUCGACUUCAGAAUCAGGUUCUAAUCCUCCUCCAGAAUCAACUAAUGGUGCAACAGGACCCACAUCAGAAUCAAGUGCAGCAGUUGCAUUGGACACAAGUGAACGAUGUUCAGAUAAUCCAUCUUAUGCAUCCCCUGUAAGUAUGUCCAGUAUAGUACCAGCCGAAACUCCACAAACAUCUAGUAAUCCAGUACCGACAGAAGCUCCU